rnacentral:rRNA from 1 species
UGAAUACGAGACGCUAAGGCGUCGAAGUAGUGUAUAUCAGACUUCCAAGAAAAGCUUGCACUGUCAUAGAUAAAAAAUGCCUGUACCAUAACCGACACAGGUGGGUAGGUAGAGUAUACUAAGGGGCGCGAGAUAACUCUCUCUAAGGAACUCGGCAAAAUAACUCCGUAACUUCGGGAGAAGGAGUGCCUUAUUUAUAAGGUUGCAAUAACAAGAUCCAAGCAACUGUUUAUCAAAAACACAGGUCUCCGCUAAGUCGUAAGACGAUGUAUGGGGGCAGACGCCUGCCCAGUGCCAGAAGGUUAAAGAAGUUGGUUAGCAAUUGCGAAGCUGAUAACUGAAGCCCUGGUGAACGGCGGCCGUAACAAUAACGGUCCUAAGGUAGCGAAAUUCCUUGUCGGGUAAGUUCCGACCCGCACGAAAGGCGUAAUGAUUUGGAUACUGUCUCGGAGAGGGGCUCGGUGAAAUAGACUUGUCUGUGAAGAUGCGGAUUACCUGCACCAGGACAGAAAGACCCUAUGAAGCCUUACUGUAACUUGAAAUUGAAAUUGGACUUUAUUCGCGCAGCAUAGGUGGGAGGCGUUGAUUAUAAUCUUGCGGGAUUAUUGGAGCCAUCAGUGAGAUACCACUCUUGUAAUGUUAGAUUUCUAACUUUGAAUCAUUAUCUGGUCAAAGAACAGUUUCAGGCGGGCAGUUUGACUGGGGCGGUCGCCUCCUAAAUGGUAACGGAGGCGUACAAAGGUUUCCUCUGAACGGUUAGAAAUCGUAUCUAGAGUGUAAAGGCAUAAGGAAGCUUGACUGUGAGACCUACAAGUCGAGCAGGGACGAAAGUCGGUCUUAGUGAUCUGACGGUACUGAGUGGAAAGGCCGUCACUCAACGGAUAAAAGUUACUCUAAGGAUAACAGGCUGAUCUCCCCCAAGAGUUCACAUCGACGGGGAGGUUUGGCACCUCGAUGUCGGCUCAUCGCAUCCUGGGGCGGUAGUACGUCCCAAGGGUUGGGCUGUUCGCCCAUGAAAGCGGUACGCGAGCUGGGUUCAGAACGUCGUGAGACAGUUCGGUCCAUAUCCGGUGUAGGCGUUAGAAUAUUGAGAGGAGCCUUCUUUAGUACGAGAGGACCGAGAAGGACAUACCUCUGGGGUACCAGUUAUCGUGCCAACGGUAAACGCUGGGUAGCUAUGUAUGGAGUGGAUAACCGCUGAAAGCAUCUAAGUGGGAAGCCCACCUCAAGAUAAGUAUUCUCAUU